GGAUUCCCCUAGUAACUGCGAGUGAACAGGGAUUAGCCCAGCACCGAAGCCUGUGGUUAUUUGACUGCAAGGCAAUGUGGUGUUUAGGUUUGUUCUUGGCAUUACUGCUCUGCCCCAAGUCCAGCAAUGAGUACGGCAUACCGUUCUGGCCCAUAGAGGGUGAAAGGCCCGUGGGGGUAGAGACCAAGCAUGACAGUUUUGUCCAGAGCUUACCUUGGAGUCGGGUUGUUUGAGAAUGCAGCCCAAAGUGGGUGGUAAACUCCAUCCAAGGCUAAAUACUUGCACGAGUCCGAUAGUAAACAAGUACCGUGAGGGAAAGUUGAAAAGUACUUUGAAGAGAGAGUAAACAGUGCGUGAAACCGCUCAGAGGUAAACGGGUGGAGUUGAACUGCGAUCCUUGGGAAUUCAGCUGAUGAGCAUGAUUUGUGCUUGGGCAUAUUGACCGCCUUUCAGUGUCUGCUUAGCUGCGGGUGCCUGCCUCUGGUGGGUAUGUGUGGUGCGCUUAUCAUGUGCCGCACGCAUUGGAGGGUGUAUGAGUCUGCUUGUCGGUGCACUUUCUCAGGGUGUUCACCACGACCGGCACUGCUGUCUGUCUGCUUUGGUCAAACUGAUCAGGUCUGAUUAACGUUGGGCUUGGUUGGGUUGGCAGGUGACUCACUGGUCCAUUCUGUGGGCUAUGAGUGUUACUAGCCGGCCUUAGUGGAUCUGUACGGUGUGUCGGAGACGGCGGCUUUGCAUAUGCGCUCUGUUCUUCAGGCGUGGUUGAGUCUGGUCGACUUGUUGCUAGUUUCGGCUGGUCAGUUGAUGGCUUGAUCAUGUUCAGUUGGCAGUGGUGUGUGUGUCUUAGUUUGGGCCAAUAGUCUGUGGUGUUGUGGUAGACUAUCCACCUGACCCGUCUUGAAACACGGACCAAGGAGUUUAACAUGUGCGCGAGUCAUUGGGCUUUACGAAACCCAAAGGCGCAGUGAAGGUAAAGGUUUGGCUUGUCCAGGCUGAGGUGAGAUCCUGUUGUUUUGCUCAUUUAUUCCAAGCUGCGAGCAGCAGGCGCAUCACCGGCCCGUCCCAUGACGUAGACAUGUGGCCUUGUGCUAUGUGCACCGUCGGGGCGGAGCAAGAGCGUACAUGUUGAGACCCGAAAGAUGGUGAACUAUGCUUGCGAAGGUUGAAGCCAGAGGAAACUCUGGUGGAGGACCGUAGCGAUUCUGACGUGCAAUCGAUCGUAUACGUGAGUAUAGGGGCGAAAGACUAAUCGAACCAUCUAGUAGCUGGUUCCCUCCGAAGUUUCCCUCAGGAUAGC
rnacentral:rRNA from 1 species